GGUUAUGGCUCAGCGGUAGAGCGUUUCCCUAGCACGUUUGAGGCCCUGGGUUCAAUCCACAGCACCA
rnacentral:tRNA from 1 species